AUUGAACGCUGGCGGCAUGCUUUACACAUGCAAGUCGAACGGUAACAGGCCGCAAGGUGCUGACGAGUGGCGAACGGGUGAGUAAUGCAUCGGAACGUGCCCAGUCGUGGGGGAUAACCACUCGAAAGAGUAGCUAAUACCGCAUACGAUCUAUGGAUGAAAGCGGGGGACCGUAAGGCCUCGCGCGAUUGGAGCGGCCGAUGUCAGAUUAGGUAGUUGGUGGGGUAAAGGCUCACCAAGCCAACGAUCUGUAGCUGGUCUGAGAGGACGACCAGCCACACUGGGACUGAGACACGGCCCAGACUCCUACGGGAGGCAGCAGUGGGGAAUUUUGGACAAUGGGCGCAAGCCUGAUCCAGCAAUGCCGCGUGCAGGAAGAAGGCCUUCGGGUUGUAAACUGCUUUUGUACGGAACGAAACGGCUCUGGUUAAUACCCGGGGCUAAUGACGGUACCGUAAGAAUAAGCACCGGCUAACUACGUG
rnacentral:rRNA from 1 species